rnacentral:rRNA from 1 species
GCUCGUAGUUGGAUCUGCGUCUUAGGACCUGGUCCGUCCAUUGGACGUGAACUAGGCCUCCUAGACUAAAAUUAUGCCAGUUUUCUUUACGUUACCUUGAUCGGUUGCGUAAGGUUGCCGGCGAGUUUACCUUGAAAAAAUUAGAGUGCUCAAAGCGGGCUUUUAUGCCUGAAUACUCGUGCAUGGAAUAAUGAAAUAGGAUCUCGGUUCUAUUUUGUUGGUUUUCUGAUCUGAGAUAAUGGUUAAGAGGGACGGACGGGGGCAUUCGUAUCGCUGCGUGAGAGGUGAAAUUCUUGGACCGUAGCGAGACGCCCGACUGCGAAAGCAUUUGCCAAGAAUGUCUUCAUUAAUCAAGAACGAAAGUCAGAGGUUCGAAGGCGAUCAGAUACCGCCCUAGUUCUGACCGUAAACGAUACCAACUAGCGUUCCGUUGGCGGUAAAUACGCCUUGACGGGCAGCUUCCCGGAAACGAAAGUUUUUCGGUUCCGGGGGAAGUAUGGUUGCAAAGCUGAAACUUAAAGAAAUUGACGGAAGGGCACCACCAGGAGUGGAGCCUGCGGCUUAAUUUGACUCAACACGGGAAAACUCACCUGGCCCGGACACCGUGAGGAUUGACAGAUUGAGAGCUCUUUCAUGAUUCGGUGGUUGGUGGUGCAUGGCCGUUCUUAGUUGGUGGAGUGAUUUGUCUGGUUUAUUCCGAUAACGAGCGAGACUCUAGCCUACUAAAUAGUUAUUGGAUAUGUUUUUGCGUGUCCAAAAAACUUCUUAGAGGGACAAGCGGUGUUUAGCCGCAUGAAGUUGAGCAAUAACAGGUCUGUGAUGCCCUUAGAUGUCCAGGGCUGCACGCGCGCUACACUGGAGGAAUCAGCGUGCUGUAACCAUUGCCGAAAGGUAUUGGUAACCCCUUGAAAAUCCUCCGUGAUCGGGAUCGGGAAUUGCAAUUAUUUCCCUUGAACGAGGAAUUCCUAGUAAGUGUGAGUCAUCAGCUCACGUUGAUUACGUCCCUGCCCUUU